UCUCCGUAGGUGAACCUGCGGAAGGAUCAUUAUUGUAUAACCGAGGUGCGAGGGCUGCCGCUGACCCGACAGGUCGUGCACGCCCGAGUGCCCUCACACGCGUCCAUCUCACCCCUAUGUGCACCACCGCGUGGGUCCCCCUUUGGCGUGUUCGGAGGGGGGCUUACGUUUUCACACAAACUUUGUAUGCAGUGUAGAAUGUAUUUUUUGUUUUUGCGAUCACGCAAUCAAUACAACUUUCAACAACGGAUCUCUUGGUUCUC
rnacentral:misc_RNA from 1 species